rnacentral:rRNA from 1 species
GAGACGACGCUGGGCGGCGUGCUUCAUACAUGCAAGUCGAACGAGAAGCUGACUUCGGUCAGUGGAAAGUGGCGGACGGGUGAGUAAUAUGUAGAGAAUCUGCCCUUGAGUGGGGGACAACAGAGGGAAACUUCUGCUAAUACCCCAUAUGAGCUAACUUGAAAUAGUUAUCUUGAAAACUCCGGUGCUCAAGGAUGAGUCUGCAUCUGAUUAGCUAGUUGGCGGUGUAAUGGACCACCAAGGCGACGAUCAGUAGCUGGUUUGAGAGGAUGAUCAGCCACAAUGGGACUGAGACACGGCCCAUACUCCUACGGGAGGCAGCAGUAGGGAAUUUUGCGCAAUGGGCGAAAGCCCUGACGCAGCAACGCCGCGUGAACGAUUAAGCCCUUCGGGGCGUAAAGUUCUGUCAGUAGGGACGAAUUUUGACGGUACCUACAGAGGAAGCACCGGCUAACUCCGUGCCAGCCGCCGC